AGAGUUUGAUCAUGGCUCAGAUUCAACGCUGGCGGUAUGCUUAACACAUGCAAGUCGAACGGUAACAGUCCCUCACCUAGAAAUUUCUUAAAAAGAGAUUUGUAGGUGAGGGAGCUGACGAGUGGCGGACGGGUGCGUAAUGUAUAGGAAUCUGCCUAGUAGUGGGGGACAACUCGGAGAAAUUCGAGCUAAUACCGCAUAAGCCCUACGGGGGAAAACGGGGGAUCUUCGGACCUCGUGCUAUUAGAUGAGCCUAUAUUAGAUUAGCUUGUUGGUGAGGUAAUGGCCCACCAAGGCGACGAUCUAUAGCUGGUCUGAGAGGAUGAUCAGCCACACUGGGACUGAGACACGGCCCAGACUCCUACGGGAGGCAGCAGUGGGGAAUAUUGGACAAUGGGCGAAAGCCUGAUCCAGCAAUACCGCGUGUGUGAAGAAGGCCUGAGGGUUGUAAAGCACUUUCAAUUGGGAGGAAUACCUAAUAGUUAAUAGCUAUUAGAUUGAC
rnacentral:rRNA from 1 species